rnacentral:tRNA from 1 species
GCCUGGCUGGCUCAGUCGGUGGAGCGUGUGACUCUUGAUCUCAGGGUCGUGAGUUCAGGCCCCACAUUAGGCG